AACUUCUUAAUAUUUUUUUAAAAAAAAUUAAAGACUAAGUAUAAACUUAGUCAUUGAAUUGUUCAUACAAAAAUGCCCCAUAACAAGACUUGGGACUUGUAUUUCUAAAGUCAAACCUUAACCGAUAACCAAGGAUCUAAUUAUAAAAUAAAAAAGGAAAAUUAUUGCAAGAAGCCAAAAACCUUAAACAUAGUUUUCCAGAUAAAUAACUACAAAAAGAAACAAAUGUGAAACAAAAGAAGGAUCAUCAGCAAGCUCAAUUGGAACAACAUCAUCAACAAUUGAAGGUUGAUCUUCAAUUACAGCAGUAGGAGCGUCAACAGGCAAAGUCUCAGCUUGACUGGCAGCAAGAGGCACAGAUGGACUUGAGGAAGGUGUGACACUCGUGGUAAUUUCAACAAUCAUAGGAACUUCAACCUCGGGAGAUGAAAAAUCUUGUAAUUAUUGUGCUCGUUCAUUGGCCUCAUUCACCUUGGCUAAUUCUGAUUCCAAGGUAAAAAAAAAUUUUGACAAUGUAACAAGUAUGCUUGUAUUAAUCAAUCUUCAGCACAAAGGUUGUGCUGGAAGCCAAAAGAGAGAGUUUACAAAAGUCUACAAAGCUCCCUAUUCUAAUCCUUGCUCUUCUUACAUGGUUUUGUAACUUUUAUGUAUUGCAAAUGGUAAUCUGCUUUCAAUCGACCUCAGGCUUUUCCUGAUGCCCUCUUUCACCACUUGCUCUUGGCGAUGGCACACACUGACCAUGAAACACGAGCUGGAGCACACCAUAUAUUCUCCACUGUGCUUAAGUCCUUGCUCUUCUUACAAGGAAUCUGGGACCUGUAAUUGACUCUAAGUUAUCACUAUAUUUUGCUUUACACCAAAAAUAAAAAAGAAGAACACAAUUUAUCUUAAUUUUCUAAAUAGAACUUGGUUGAAUCCUCAAAACAUCUUGCAUUCAUCUCCUUCCAUAUUGUCCACCAAAUAGUUACUGGGACAAUUUUCCAUCUGUCUUUGUUGGAGGUAGUGCACUACCCCCUUCAUUCCAGCUCGACAAUAGUUCAGAUAUUCUUCCUGGCAUUGAUCAUAUAAUGCCUCUAAGAUUGAUGAAUAAGGCCUACAAGUAAGUAGUCACUCUACAAUGUAAAAGAUGGCUGAUUGUCUCUACCUCUUGUCCACAUAAGUAACAUCUCGAGCAAAUUGGCAUUCCCCUUCUCCUCAGGUUAUCAUGUGUUAAAACUGCUUCUCUAACUACUAGCCAUGCAAAACAUGCCACUUUGUAUGGUAUCUUGACCCUCCAGAUGUGUUUCCAAGGCCAUAUAUUGACUUGUCCACCAUCUUGGUUUAGGUAUUUGUACGCUGAGCUGACUUUGUACACCCCGCUGCUGUUUUGGCUCCAUCUAACUGUGUCAUCUACCUCUUGCAGUCCAUUACAUCGCUCUAGAGUGUUAAAAAAAUCUGUAAUUCUGGGCAACUCCCAAUCAUGUAAAGGUCUUCUGAAGGUGAGGUUCCAAGCUUAUGCCCCUCUAAGAUCGCUUACUGUAGCUCUAUGUUGUUAAUUCGGGGCAUAAAAGUAUGAAAAAAGAUCCAUAAGACAACCAAUUCCUAACCAGUUAUCUUCCCAAAAAAGAGAUUUCCUUCCAUAUCUUACUUUGAAUUGAAGCUUGUCAGCGAAAUUUGGCCACAUGUUCCUUAUAGUUCUCCACAAGCUUAUACCAUAAGAAUUAUUUACCUGCUUAGUCAUCCAGAAUCCUUCGUUUCCAUAUUUAGCCUUUAUUACUUUUCUCCAUAAAACUUGAUCCUUCCUUGUAAACCUCUAAAUCCACUUCAUCAAAAGACUUUUAUUCUGCAAUUUCAAGUUCCUGAUCCCUAAACCUCCCUUCUUUUUGCUGAGGGACAAUGUUUUCCAUUUGACUAGGUGAAAGCCCUUCUUCUCUUUGUUUUCAUGCUAGAGGAAGUUUCUUCUCAAGGUGUCCUGUCUUUUCUCUACGUUGGCAAGUAUAGGAAAUAGGGACAAUAUAUAUGUGGGAAGGGCAUCUAGCACAGAGUUAAUCAGGACCAAUCUACCACCCAAAGAGAUGUAGUUAGAUUUCCAUCUUGCUAGCUUUUUCUCACAUUUUUUCAGGACUCCAUUCUAGAUAUCCUUGGAUUUUCUUUUAGCACCCAAAGGCAUCCCCAAAUAAAUGGUCGGGAUAGAACUAAUUUCACCUCCCAGAAUUCCUGCCAGCAGCUGAAUAUUAGAUACCUCACUGACUGGAAAAAUCUGGCUUUUCCUCCAGUUGCUAUGGAGCCCAGAGAUUUCGUCGAAAAUUAUGAGGAUCACUAUUAGAUGGUUUACUUGGGUCACAUCAACAUCACAAAAAAUGAGGGUAUCGUCUGCAUAUUGAAGGUGAGUAACCUCCAGUAUGUCAAUUUGGCUUUUUUCCACAUUGAAACCUUUAAUCCAUCCAUUGCCCUUUGUUGUUCUUAACAUAUUUUUUAUCCCUUCCAUAGCAAGAAUGAACAAGAAAAGGGAUAAGGGAUCGCCCUGUCUCAAGCCCCUUUCCGAGGGGAAAAAACCUUCAAGGGCUCCAUUGAUCAGGAUAGAGAACUUGAUAGUGCUUAUACAUAAUCUGAUCCAGUUGAUUCAUUUCCUACCAAACCAUCUUCUGGAGAGUUCCUAGCAAAAAUUCCCAGUUGACAUGGUCAAAUGCCUUUUCAAUGUCUAACUUGCACAUAUUUCCUGUCCUCCUCUCCUUGAGUCUGGAAUCUACACAUUCAUUUGCAAUUAGUACUGCAUCUGUGAUUUGUCUCCCUUUUAUAAUUCCAUUUGCUGUGAGUCUACCAAUUUGUGCAUCACCCUUUUCAAUCUUUCAGUGAGUAACUUGGAGAUCAGUUUAUAGAUGCUGCCUAUGAGGCUGAUAGGUCUAAAUUCUCUUAACUCCUUGGCAUCACUCUUCUUAGGUAUCAAUGCCACAAAGGUGGCAUUGAAGCUCUAUUCAAAGAACUCCUAGGAAUGAAAUUUUUGAAUAGUAGCCAUGAUGUCUGGUUUCACCACAUCCCAGCAUUUGAUGAGAAAGCUCAUAGUGUACCCAUCCGGUCCCGGAGCUUUGUCUAUUGCACAAGUCUUUAAACAUUCUAAAACUUCAUUCUCCUCGAAAAUAUUUUGCAAUGUUUGUGCUUCCGCUUCAGAAAUAGAUGGGCAAUUUUUCAUAUUGCAGGUUGGUCUCCAUACUUCUGAUUCAGAGUAUAGCUUCUGAUAGAAGUCAAUAAUCUCCUUUUUGAUCUCAGCUGGAUCUUCAAUACUCUCCUCGUUAACCUCUAAUUUGCUGAUGUUGUUGAAUCUUUUAUGAGCAUUGGCAGUUCUUUGGAAGAACUUUGUGUUCCUAUCUCCUUGUUUGAGCCAUAGAGCCCUUGAUCUUUGUCUCCAAGCAAUUUCCUCAUUUGUAGUAUUCUUCAAAUUCGAUGGAUAGAUUUGUUCUCUGUCCAUCUCCUCCUCAUUAAGGUUACUCUGUUGUGGAUAGCAUCCAACUCAGCUAUUUGGCUCAGUAUGAGAUUUUCCCCUCUCUUCAGGUUGUCAUAGCUAUUCAAACUCCAUUCUCUUAGUUUGCCUUUUAAGGCUUUUAGUUUGCAAGCAAGGAUGUAAUCCAGUCUUCCUUCAAAGAUGAAGGAUCUCCACCAGUUCUGGACUCUGUCAGAAAAGCCUUCAUUCUCCAACCACCAGUUUAUGAAUUUGAAGUAGGAUUUUGUGUGAUCCCAGUGCCACAUUGUAACAUUAAGGGAGUGUGAUCAGAACAACCUAUAAGGAGAGUUUAUUGUUUGAUGUUUUUAAAGUACGCAUUCCACUCCAUCGAUAUUAGGAUCCUAUCAAUUUUUGAGGUGGUCUCAUGACGGUUCCCUCUAGCCCAUGUAUAGAUGCCCUUUUCCAAUAGAAGAUCAGCCAAGUCCAUGUCUUCAAUGAAGCUAGAAAACUCAGUCAUAGAUUUGGUUAUUCUGCUGCCAUUCCUCUUCUCAGAGGGAAAUCUGAUUGUGUUGAAAUCACCAGCAAUUACCCAAGGCCCUGUGAACAGACCUCUAGUACCUCCUAAUUCCCACCACACUUCCCUUCUUUCUCUGAUGCAAUUAGGAGCAUAAACUGCUGUCAUGUGGCAAUUAAAGUCUUGAGAAUGUGACUCAAAUUUGCAAGUCAAUGAAUGAGCACCUGUGGUUACUACCUCCCCUCUACAAACUUUAUUAUCCCAUAAUAUUAGAAUGCCACCUCUAGUGCCACUAGCCUCCAAUUGCCCAUAUUUAACACCUCUGGCCCCCUAGAUUUCUUUGACAAUCCCUUCAAUGUCCCUUUCUAUUUAUUUCUUGAAAAUAGAAUACAUCAACUUUCCAGUUAAGUAUCAAGCUUCUAAUCACCCUUUUCUUUUUCCUGCGAUUCAGCCCUAUCAUGUUCCAUAAAAUGAUUUUUACAUUCAUUGAUCAAUUAAUGAGAUUUCUUUCCCCCCCCCCCNNNNNNNNNNNNNNNNNNNNNNNNNNNNNNNNNNNNNNNNNNNNNNNNNNNNNNNNNNNNNNNNNNNNNNNNNNNNNNNNNNNNNNNNNNNNNNNNNNNNNNNNNNNNNNNNNNNNNNUGUUCCAUGUCCCAGAACUUUUGAACUUCAUGUUGAAAACCAAACUCUUUAACUCCUGACUGCCUUUCUUUCUGGGAGUCUCCGUGUUUACUGGUUCUGGUUCUUGCCUCUUUGAUUGCCUGCAUCUGUCAAUCUUUUUGAAUAAAGCCAAGGCCUCUUCUUCACAUCCCUGUAAGUCAACCCCAAAUUGUUUGCUAAGCUUAUUACAUUCUGAUGAACCCCUAAGGUUGCGUCCAUCUCCCCCGCUAAGUAAUCACUUUGCAGUUGCAUCUUCAGAGGUUCAGCUUCCUCAUUUGCCCAAAUUUCAGGUUUAAUUUGCAUUGCCACUUGCAUGUCGUUGCUGCCUCCCACCCCCGUCAAUUAAAAUACCCCCGCCCUUUAUAUUAGUCAUGGCGUAUUCAUGGUUAUGUCCAUCUUCGUGAUGUGCCUGUUGCUCAGCCUCCUGUGUGAUUGAGAGAGGAAAUUCUCUUACUUCAUUCUUUUUUGCUUCUGAAGAAAGAGCUCUGUUGUGAGGGGAUAGAGAAAUUGCCUCUAUUUCAUCGACUAAAGGGUCUGUUAAUUUCCAUUGAGGUGAAGGAGGCUGGGCUGAAAGGAGAAAUUGGGCCUCUUCAUUAAAAAAGGAGCCCAGAGUCCUCUUCUGAGUAGUGGGUUUUGAGGGAUCUGAUGGUUUGUGGGACAGAAAUCUUUGGGACCCUUGAGUUGGCCCUACCACUUUAUCAAAAUUUGAAAUUGGCACAUUAACAUAUGUGCCUACGUGACCAACCCUAUCAUUAAGACCCCUAUACGCCUUUUGUACUUCUUCCUAGGGUUAUAAUGACCAUCGGUCAUUACACAGAUUCCUUCUCACAUCUUCUUCUUCUCCAGUAGCCACCCUCGUCGGAGAUUCGCACCAGAUCAGAAUAGUGAAGCGUAUUCCUUUGUCAACAAUUACCAUUUCCUUCUGUACUUUCUCCCAAUCACGUCUAAUUUUAACUCUUGCCCCUUUGAGGUGAUUCUUCAAAGAUGUUUCUUCCUCAGUUUCUAGCCAUCCUCCACAAAGGUCUCCUAUGGCUUUGAAGGUUUUCUCAGUCCAGAAGUGCAUUGGGAGGCCCAUAGCUCUAAUCCAAGUCCAAUCCCUUUUUUGGUUUGUUGAGCAGCAGCCGGCCAUUGGCGACCACCAUUCCAGAUGAAUUUUUGCUCGCUUCCACCUCCAUUACCCUUUCAAGAUGUGUUUUGCCAUGUUUUUGUUAGGAAAUUGAAAGAGAAAAUUGUGUCCGGCCAUUUCGUAUACAUCAACACCAAAAUCUUUCUUCCAAGUGUUCAUUUCCGAUUGCCGGAUGUCGGCAAGGGUUGGUUUUUCAUCCAAUCCCUCGACAAAACUUCCAACAAUGCACCUGCUCAGCAACCCCUCAUCUGUGUUAACCUUACCAUCAGAGAUUAAUAUUCUAUUGUUAGGACCAUGUGUAGGACUUCAUCGCACUCCCUUGACUGCCAUUUGUUGACUUUAGCAGAGGAAGAAUAUGGAAUUUUAGGGUCUGCCUUCUUGGGACCAUUUGUAAUAAAUGACCUUUUGUUAGCAUUAAUGAAGUUCUUGAUCUUGAAUGCAAUUUUGUUCCAUCCCGCAUUAAAUGUAACUUUUGGAAUAAUGGUUACGGUUCUGUUGUCACCUUGGAUAGUAACAAUGCUAAUAAAUCUUCCGAACUGGUUGUAUUUUCUAGAGCUCUAAAAUGUAGAAUAUUGCUCCAUUAGUUGCCAUUUCCUAACGAACGUGCCAGCAUCUUUUGAAGCUUAUUGAAAGACAAAGCAUAACCAUUCCAUAGUUUUCCUACUGAAGGUUGAUCUACGCAUGUGAUUACGGCUCCUUUCCACCAAUUAGAACCAAGUUUCUACUCUUGAUUCAAGCUUUGUAUUGUCAUACGAUUUGAGCCCAACUGUAAAAUAAAUCAUGUUAUCACCUAUAAUAAGUGGUGUCCUUUUUCCUUUCAGAGCUUAGAAUUGAAGAGCGAGAGUUGAGAAAGAGCAGAGAAUUAUGUCAAUUUGCAUGGCCAAGCAAAAAUUUUCUUGGCCCAUUUCUACCAAGGUGUCACAACGAGACUUUAAGAAGGUCCAGCUUACCUCAACACUGGUUGACUCUUCGAGAAGUUCAUAAUCUCUCUCCCAAGCAGCAACUUCAUUCUUAAGUUCUUCGUUUUUAGCCAAGAAGAAUUAUAAGAUGAUUGAAUGUAGGUAUGAGAACUCUCUAGGGCAUGUACCUUGUCUAUAGAAACUCUUAGUUCUUCUUGUGCCAGUGAAAGGUUUUGUGCUAGCUCCCCAGCAUGAAUCU
rnacentral:lncRNA from 1 species